CUGAAACUAGUGAAAAGCCUCCCAGUUAAUCAGGUGGGUGGGUGUGUCAGGAGCUGUAGAAGGAAGCUGUUGGAGAGACUGAGGAGUAUAAACCAUAUCAGGCACAAGGAAAGAGGCCCUGAGAUCUGGAGCCUGGGUUCCACAACAGCUCCUGUGGACUUUAAAUAACAUUUUUCCAGGUUCCAGCUCCAGACUGAGGCUCUAGGAGGCCGUGCCAAAAGGACCACAGCUAAGAUGGCUGCCACUGCCCUCUGACCCUAUUUCGCAGCCUGCUUGGAGUCAGAGGUGGAGGCAGAGGAAUCAGAAACCCUUGCUGAGGUCAACAGGGUGAUCUGGAUGAGCAGUUCACUGGAACAUGGACAAGGCAGGGCUGAAUGGCCACAGCCAAGAGAGAGUCUGAUUCAUACCCAGAUAAUUUAGUAUAGUUUCACUUUGAGUUUGGAAGCCGGGCAAAAGAGUACAGUUCAGGGAGUUCUUGCUCUGGUCUGAGACUCUAGCUUCAUGGAUUUGGGCACCCACUACUGCAGCGACCAGCAUCCAGACAGCGAGAGAUUCAACUCAGCACAGGCUACUGAGUGCCAGCCAAGACCCCACCAGCAUUCUAGACCAGAAGAAUGAACAAACCUGCUUGCAGUCAGAAGAGGGCCCUGUCUCAUCCAAAAGUGAAGAAGUAAGGUGAUAUUUUUGUUUAAGGUAGCUAAUCCCACAGCAUUGCAAUGCUCCAUCUCAGGACAUGCCACUUUGGCUGAGCCAUCUGCUUUGGGAAUGUGCAAUGGAUGGAGCAGGAGUUUGAGAGUGUUAGCAGGUGGGUAUCUGGAUUAUUUAUUAAUGUUUUUAUUACUUGUUAGUUAGCCUUAACCCUUUUCUUAUCCAGAUCCUGUUUUCCUGUUCCCAGUAAAGUCACCCAUUUUGUUAUGUCGUUA